rnacentral:rRNA from 1 species
GCAAGCGAUUCCCUGAGUAGAGGCGAUCGAAAAGGGAACAGCCCAGCGCACAAUCUCCCGGUCUACCAAGGCCGCGGCGAAAUUUUGCGUAUAGGGAAGGGUCGUCAACAGCCCCGUGCACCCGUCUGAUGUGCCUAACCGUGAUCUGAAAUGUUCACGCACGUUGGGUGCUUUAUCUUUCGGGGUAGAUGCUCAACACAUGGUUCCAUGGAGGGUGCAAGCCCCGUAUUGGCCGCGUGUGAGUGUGCACUAAGGCUCGAUCUCUUUAAUUCCCUGAGAGUCGCGUUGUUUGGACAUACAGCGCUAAUCAGGAGGUAAACUCCUCCUAAGGCUAAAUACAUCCACAGAACCGAUAGCAAACAAGUACCGCGAGGGAAAGUUGAAAAGCACUUUGGAGAAAGGGUGACAAGACCGUGAGACCGUCCAGGGCAAAAGCCGGUGUCAAUUAUAUCCUAGUUGCGCUGGGACUACACUUCUCGUGUAAGGGUUCACAUUUGACACGUUUUAGUUAACGUGUUGCGUGUAUCUCUCUCGGUCCAUUAACAGCCCAUCGUGACUCUUGUGAGGUCAUUCGUGGUAGCGGAAGCUUCUGUUCGGUACGUUCAUCUAAAGGUUUUGAUUAUCGGAGACCGUGUCACUGUGGUAUCCCGAGUAGCCGAUCCCGUUGCAGGGGGAGAGGUGAAAGGCACCGUAGUGCGCGUCGGUGCAGAGAUUGUCUCCACAUGAGGUCGAAACCCGGGCGUAUCCGGACGCUGUGUCAAGUUGCCAAAGCGUCUCUGAUCCUCGGCGAGAAGUUAUACUACGCUCCGAUACCUUUCUCUCUUGGCUCUCGGGUCUUCAGGCGCCGUUGCAGUGGCUGCUGAAACGACUCGAGCAGUCUUAUGAGUUAGGACACGGCAGUUUGUACGGUGGUCGACCUAGGUGACGCCGGUCACGUCUCGAAACACGGGCCAAGGAGCAUAGCGUAAAGCCAAGUCCAAAUGUUUCUCGAAACUUUGUGGCAACAGUGAAAGCGAUCGUACGGCUACUCUGCGUAGCCGUAAGUGUGCAAGCUGAGAGUUCCGGUUCUGCCGAGAUUCGAAGCUUCGCUCCGACCUAGUCAAGGUUGAUCCUCUAGUUCUAGCGAACGACAAGGCGCAAACCUCAGGCCCGAUCAACUGUCACGCCUCACGGAAUGACAAGAUGGGCACUGCCUAGGCUUUGAGCUAUGACCCGAAAGAUAGUGAACUAUGCUUGGCGAAGACGAAGCCCCAGGAAACUGUGGUGGAAGUCUGUAGCCGUUUUGACGUGCAAAUCAAUGGUGUCAGCUGAGCAUAGGGGCGAAAGACCAAUCGAACUAUCUAGUAGCUGGUUCCAUUCGAAGUUUCUCUCAGGAUAGCUUGCGUGACAUUUAGCGCAUAGAGUCUGGACUCAUCUCGGUACACGAAAGCGUGCUGGUAGUCCGUCCCGGUGGUCUGCAGUUGUUGAGGGUUGGCGAGCGUAAAGAACUCCUUAUCUCACUCUCUGAUCAUACCAAGGGUAGCGUAUCAUAUGGAUCGUGGUGCAGUUACGUCUGGUAAAGAGAAUGAGUAGAGUUAGCUCGUUGCUUUCGUAUAGCAACAGCAGCGGGGCGUUCUACGCCUCGCACUAUUAUCAAACUUUAAAUGGGCGAGGUACCUCGGUAUUUUCUUAUUGCUUGAUACCGGGGCGAAACACGUCAGUACUCUCACGAGUUGUGGCGAAGGUGAAUGCGAGCGCGCAAAGUGGGUCCGUUCUGGUAAGCAGAACUGAUAAUGAGGGAUGAACCUAACGCAAGUGCUAAGGGGCCAAAGAGACAGCUAUUUCUCGAAACCAUUGGAAAGGUGUUGCUUGCUGAAGACAGCAGGACGGUGGUCAUGGAAGUUGAUACCCGCUAAGGAGUGUGUAACUACUCAUCCUGCCGAAGCGAGUAACCCUGAAAAUGGAUGGCUCUAUAGCUCUCUCCCGAUGCACUGCCGUCAGUAGCACUCGAGUCACCCCGUGUCUCUACGCUCUGACGAGUAGAAUGGCUGUGCUGCACUGCUUUGACGGCUGUCGCGUGAGCGUGGUCUGAGCGUGCAGCAGUACAGAUCUUGGUGGUAGUAGCAAGUACUCUGGUGAAUAACCUUGAGCUGUGAGGUUGAUAAGGGUUCCAUGUCAACAGUGUUUGUACAUGGGUAAGUCGGUCCUAAGCUCCCACUAUCCGUAGUGGUAAUGGCGAUCGCAUCAGGAGAAGCGUCGUGAUGUGUGUGAGACUUGAUGCAGCAUAGAGACGAAAAUUACGACGACGACUCACACAGAGAGGGAGCAGGUGCUCUGUGUGUGUGUUGUGCGGCGCGUAGUGGUAGUGAACGGUAGCGUUUUUCUCACUGGAGAAAGAGAACGUUUCAAGCCUAUUAGCUAUCACAAACACACACGCCCACACUCACACACUGUCUGGUUCCUGUCGUACUCCUUCUCGCCGUUGUCAGUGGUAUUGAUGAAUCUCUUGUAUUGAUGAUCACACACGCUCACUCACGAAAAGCACUUCUGCGUCGUCUGGCGAAAGGGAAUUGCGGACUCAGUUCGUAAACCACUCCUGGUACCCUGAGACGGUUCACCGUAUCACGGACCUGGCAAUAGCUUGCCAGGCCAGUCGCUGUCAUAAGUAGCUCGGCGGGGAGAUUUCUUCUCUCUUUGAUAUAGACUCGUGUCCUGAAAGCACCUCGAGUGGCGGAAGGUCAACGCUGUCUAGCAGAGUACUCUACUCCCUCGAGUAGAUAACGAUGCUGCUUGUGAUCCGUGAAAAGGUGGUCGAGGGGAAUAAAUAGGGACACACAUGCACAAACGCAAAAACGCUUACGGAUAAACAUAUACGCACACGCCWCUCUCGCGCACGCGGUGAUCUGUCGGUGCUGCUGACGUUGCAGAGUCAGUCAGUCACAUGCAGGUUCAGUUAAAGAGAGAUUGGCAUACGUGUGCGUUGCAGGCACCACCACAUGCGUGAGCACCUGUGUAGCGUCCCGUACACUUCACUCUAGUGUUAGCCAGGGCGUGGCCGUACCCAUAUCCGCAUCUGUCUCAAA